CCUACGGGAGGCAGCAGUGGGGAAUAUUGGGCAAUGGAGGCAACUCUGACCCAGCAACGCCGCGUGAAUGAUGAAGGUCUUCGGAUUGUAAAGUUCUGUGAUGGGGGAUGAACACAAUGACGGUACCCCAAUAGCAAGCCACGGCUAACUACGUGCCAGCAGCCGCGGUAAUACGUAGGUGGCAAGCGUUAUCCGGAAUGACUGGGCGUAAAGGGUGCGUAGGUGGUUUAGUAAGUUGGCGGUGUAAUUCCGGGGCUCAACCUCGGCGCUACCGCCAAAACUAUUAGACUAGAGUGCAGGGGGGGUAAGUGGAAUUCCUAGUGUAGCGGUGGAAUGCGUAGAUAUUAGGAGGAACAUCAGGGGCGAAGGCGACUUAGUGGACUGUAACUGACACUGAGGCACGAAAGCGUGGGGAGCAAACAGGAUGAGAUACCCUGGUAGUC
rnacentral:rRNA from 1 species